rnacentral:rRNA from 1 species
UACGUAGGGGGCAAGCGUUGUCCGGAUUUAUUGGGCGUAAAGAGCGUGUAGGCGGCCAUACAGGUCAGCUGUGAAAACUCGAGGCUCAACCUCGAGACGUCGGUUGAAACCGUAUGGCUAGAGUCCGGAAGAGGAGAGUGGAAUUCCCGGUGUAGCGGUGAAAUGCGCAGAUAUCGGGAGGAACACCAAUGGCGAAGGCAGCUCGCUGGGACGUGACUGACGCUGAGACGCGAAAGCGUGGGGAGCAAACAGG